CCUGAAAAAAGAGAAACCUAUAUUUUUAUGUGCAAUCAAAGUAGUAACAGCUUUAACCCCUUAAGGACCAAACUUCUGGAAUAAAAGGGAAUCAUGACAUGUCACACAUGUCAUGUGUCCUUAAGGGGUUUAAACAACAACAACAAAAAACUAUUUCUUCUAAAAGAUCUUGUGAUUUACUACUUUGACUCGGGGGUGGGGUUGAACAUAAGGACAGCUACACUGUAAUUGAUACUAAGACACAAUGCCUCCAAACACACUAAAAAAUGAGAUAUAUCAGUGUUAAUGGUUGUGUGUCUGCAUCAUUGUUGGGAACCCACCUAGUAGCCAACAGGAAUUCUAAAAUAAAUACCACUAUGGAAUCUUUCAUGAACCUAAAUUGUUUUUCUGCACUAUUUUUGCCUAAAUGUAUAUUGACUUCCUUGAUGUUCAGCCAGUAUUACAGCUGCCAGGGCAUGACUGGAGUUGACGGCUACAAUAGUGCUCUAUGAAUACACAUUUUUCAUUUAAUACUGUGUGUGCAGAUGUAAUUUAGGUGCUCAGGCUAAAUUAAUUAUGGCUAUAUGAGGGUUAUUAUAGUCGGUUUUCCCUUUUUAGAACACCUGCAUUUAACAGAAAUUUAAUUUUCCAUUGUAUAAAUUACUCCCAAUAUUGUUUUCCUGUAGUUGCUGAAGCUCUGCAUAUACUUCUUGCCAGCAUUCUAGAUUAUACAUAGUAGCAAGUGUUUAUAGGUGGUAACUAGGGCAACAAAUAUAGCUUGCAAGGCUUUUCGUUUCAUUGUUUGCUAAAGCCCUGCGAAUACCGAAUAACCUUCAGUGCUUCUAUGUAGCAACUAGGUUACUCAACGGUUCAUGCAAGAAUAACUUCUAAGGCUUUUAGAGCUAGUUUCUCUGUACUUUAUAAAGACGUGAAUAUUUCUUGUUGGCGUACUAGAUACUGCAUAGCAACCAGUGUUUUAUGCAGUAACUAGGAAGCACAAUAUCUCGUAAUAACUCACAAAGAUUUUGUAAAUACAAUGAAAACUAGAUCACAGUUGAAGUAAAAUGGUGCAAACAAAUUCUCUUAUAAACAAGAACAGGGAAAAACGUUUCAAGUAAAAUAUAAUAAGGGGAAAUUCUUGUAUACAAAUAUGGAGUCUUAAUGCUGGCAGUGAAUCAAAGCCAUAGAACUCCUACUCCCAUUAUGCCUAACAAAUAUUUAUUUUGUAUAUCAUAUGUGAGCUGACAAAAUCAUUGCUCACCCCUAGCCAGCUUGCAGCAGCUGCUGCUGUUGGAGGCUUGAGAGACUCACUGCAGUCACUGCAAAUAAUACCCUAACUUUUAAUAGAGAGAAGCUAGCCGAAGAUCACUGCUGCACGCGGUAAGAUGUUGCAAGCAAAUGGAGUUUACUGGCUUACGCCAUGCUUCAUUAUGGGCAAAUUGGCCCUCUAAAAUAAAUAAAAUUCAAAUUAUUGUAUUUGAAUCGUAACCUAUACAUGCAAGUCACUGCAUGCUAUACAUUUUCUGAAAGGAUCUAAUUCAGAUGGUUCCUAGGGAUGCAUAUUUCUCAGUCGACUCAUUUUCAAACGAUCCGAUUAAUAUGCUAAGAGAUUAGUUCCCUUCAAGUUCUUUAAAUGGGGCACAUUUUAAGUUCUUUCCUGUUUUCGAAAAUUGUUAGUGAACAUAAUGGAAUAUAUAUAAAGGUACAGGGUAUAUUAGCUGUGGUGUGUAACAAGUAAAAUUGUACAAUGUUUGAGUCUGGUGCAAUCGCUAUUUGCACCAGUUCAAUGUACCUGUUGAUAGCUCCACUCUUUAGAAGCUUGUUAUUAAAUGGGUUAUGAUCCAUUAUUACUGCCUAGAGAGAACAAAUGGCAAACGCCAAGAUACAGAGAAAUGAAACAUUCAAAAUAAUGGGAUUUUAUUCACACUGGAACAAAUCUUAAAACCAAGAAACUUAUAACUUUUUAUAAUAAAAAAAACUCUUUAAAAGGUUUCAUAUAUUUGAAUACUUCAGCCCAAUGUAAUUCUGUAAUUGUAAAAAUGGCAGUGCAACAUAUAGAUUUAUUAGAAACAUUAUUUUUUUAUCUGCUUCUUUUGACUUUAUCAUAUUGAUUUCCUAGACUAUAAUUUACACAGCACAAAAGAAUAAAUCCACUGAAAUUUAGAAUUUUCCUAAAAUAGAUAUUUUUUUUCUUCUGAUUUCCCUGUAAUAUGUUAUCUUAAGCAAUUCUCAAAAAAAAAAAAAUUCCAUAUAUGAUGCCACUGGUUCUCAAACCUGAGUGCUAUGUACUUGAAAAAUUGUGUGUGAUAUAUGGGACCUACUUCUCAAUGUCUGGCACCGAAUUCAUCAAAUGGACUGCAAACAUUAACAUUCCAUAAUCUGUGUUUUACGUGAGUGACAACCUAUUGAUGAUUUGUCGAUUUGUCAAGUAUUUUUUCCCUUUCAGAUUCUGCUGUAGAACUGCAUUCUAAAACCUUGAUCUUUUAGCCCUAUAAGGCUGAGCAACACGUUGGUCUACAGUUCAAAGAUGGCCCCUCUGUUAGAGAGCUCUUAAUUCUGUAAUUUCCAGUCGGAGCCGCAGUAUUAAUGUCUUUUGUAACUAGUUCGGACACUGCUAGUCCUUUUCUCCCUUAUCAUUUUCCACGCUUGUUAUUGUAAGAUAUGUUUUCUACAGUGGAGAUAAUGUUUUUUGUUUUGCCCUAUUAUUUUUUUUACAGGAAUCUGCAAUAUAUUUCUAUAUCGAAAUCAGGGAGAAUCCUUUUCAGGGAAGAGCUUGCAAUGUUUUGCUGAAACUAUGUAGUGUCUGAGAGGUUUAAGAUAUAGUAUUGUUAAAACGGAGGAAUAGAAAGGAAGCUGUUAAAAUAAACUGUACCAUAGAAUCAAUCCGUUACUUAAGAAAUAUAUUGACUACAGAGUAUUUGUAGCACAUUUUAACAUGAUCCUUCAUUUUAUUUUAAUAAAUAGGUUUAUUUUUUCCAUUUUUUAAUAAACUCUUGAAUAUAUGAAAUGAAGGUGCCCUCCAUUUUUCCCCCAGAUUUUUGUCUCUUGAUGACUAUUUUUCAUAUUAGAAGGAAAGAGAUGUUCAGUGAGAAAUAUAUAUAUUUUUAGACUUUCAUGUACCGUUUCCUUGAACAAGAUUUCUAUUUGAUAAGCUUUAGGAUAUGGCUGUGUUUGUCUGUUCAGUGAGUGCCUGUGUCUUAGGGAUAGCUCAUAUAAGACAAAUGCAAAUCUAUCUUCGUUCUUCUUUAACUUCUGUAAUGUCAGAGGACUUUUGCAUCGGAGGCCUCUUUGUCUUUAAGGGGGGAUAAUAUUGGUAAAAAGAAUAUAGAUUAUGGUAAAUUUGAAUGUGACUAUGUGAUUAUGCUAUAAAAUUGUCUAUAUCCCAUUUUUUUGUAGGCUGUAGUUGAAAAUGCCUUGUUAUAUUUACAGAAAUGCAGUAUUUCUUGAAUAUGAAUCUGAAAGCGUUAAAUGAAAUCUUGCAUCUUGUCCUUGAAGUAUUUUGAGUAUUUCUAUGGAAGUCCCAUUCCAAUCAUUUGCAGUCAUGUGAAACUCUGUUUUUGUAAUAAAGGUGGUCACUGGGGGAAAGCAGCAUUUAAUAAAAUCUCUAUGUUUGUAUAUAUUGCCACUGUGUUCCAGUCUUGUGUGUUCCCCUGCCACCAAUUAUAUUCAAGUCCUAUUUGUUCUGUGCCAUCCAAUCGAAAAGCACUGCUUAUUCCUGUUAGUUUCUGGUUUGGUUAUUGCAAUGUUUCUCAUAAAUCCGUUAAAUAGGUCAUACAGAUUUGUUUUUUUAUCAAACCAAUAUAUGACAGGUUUAAAUGUAAAUAUCAAUUUUAGAUCUGAAUGUUAAAUUGCAUCUAUAUCUAGUCUUCAGUUACCCAUACAUCUUUGUGGUGGUAGCUAAGUGAUGUCAUCAGCCAAUUAGAAUAAAAGUUGCAAACGUAAGUGAUUCUCUCCCCACCUCCCCACCCCCGUUUGAUUCAAUAGCCUUUAUUUGCACGUAUAGGUCGCAGAGUUGGACAGGUGGAGGAUGUUGCAGUUGCCAGGUGUAACCUCAUUUAUUCCUGCAACAUCCAUACAUAUGACC